rnacentral:rRNA from 1 species
GACGAACGCUGGCGGCGUGCUUAACACAUGCAAGUCGAACGGAAAGGCCCUGCUUGCAGGGUACUCGAGUGGCGAACGGGUGAGUAACACGUGGGUGAUCUGCCCUGCACUUCGGGAUAAGCCUGGGAAACUGGGUCUAAUACCGGAUAGGAGCCAUUUUUAGUGUGAUGGUUGGAAAGUUUUUUCGGUGUAGGAUGAGCUCGCGGCCUAUCAGCUUGUUGGUGGGGUAAUGGCCUACCAAGGCGGCGACGGGUAGCCGGCCUGUGAGGGUGGACGGCCACAUUGGGUCUGAGAUACGGCCCCGACUCCUACGGGAGGCAGCAGUGGGGAAUAUUGCACAAUGGGCGCCAGCCUGAUGCAGCGACGCCGCGUGGGGGAUGACGGCCUUCGGGUUGUAAACUCCUUGCGCUAGGGACGAAGCUUUUUGUGACGGUACCUAGAUAAGAAGCACCGGCUAACUACGUG